rnacentral:rRNA from 1 species
AUACGUAGGGGGCGAGCGUUGUCCGGAAUGAUUGGGCGUAAAGGGCGCGUAGGCGGCCGCUUAAGUCUGGAGUGAAAGUCCUGUUUUUAAGAUGGGAAUUGCUUUGGAUACUGUCGGGCUUGAGUGCAGGAGAGGUAAGUGGAAUUCCCAGUGUAGCGGUGAAAUGCGUAGAGAUUGGGAGGAACACCAGUGGCGAAGGCGACUUACUGGACUGUAACUGACGCUGAGGCGCGAAAGUGUGGGGAGCAAACAGGAUUAGAUACCCUGGUAGUCCACACUGUAAACGAUGAAUGCUAGGUGUAGGGGGUAUCGACCCCUUCUGUGCCGCAGUCAACACAAUAAGCAUUCCGCCUGGGGAGUACGGCCGCAAGGUUGAAACUCAAAUGAAUUGACGGGG